rnacentral:lncRNA from 1 species
AUGCCUGCUUAUGUCCACAGCACUUUGUUCUAGGUUCCAGCCCCUGUAGGAAAUGAGGGUAUCUAAGAGAUUGCUUCGGCAUUCAGUGAGUGCAUAGGUUAGCAGGCUGUUAAGAUGAGAAGGACCUGCUGUGUUUCACAUCAGACACCACAUCAAAAACACUAAAAGCAACACGGAAUGGAAUUCAGACAGGUCAGAGUGAAUUAAAAAAAAGCAUGAUGUGCCGGGUGUGGUG